AUACUCUUAACAGCUAGCCCCUAAUCAAAAACAACAAACAACAUUAAUAACCCCUCAUAAACUGAAGCAAGUAAAACAAAUCAUUUUUCCUCCUUAGUAUGGGUGACAGAAAAGGACAAUUAGCGCAACAGAGAAAGUACCGCAAGGGAAAGCUGAAAGAGAAAUGAAACAACUUAGUAAGGAGCCAAAAAGUAGAGACUACACCUCGUACCUUUUGCAUCAUGACUUAGCUAGUAGCUUUCAAGCAAAAUGACUUUUAGUUAGAAACCCCGAAACUAAACGAGCUACUCCAGGACAGCCUAUUAUAGGGCAAACCCGUCUCUGUGGCAAAAGAGUGGGAAGAUCUUUGAGUAGAGGUGAUAAACCUACCGAGUUUAGUUAUAGCUGGUUGCCCACAAAAGGAAUAGAAGUUCAACCUUUACUCUUUUUACCUCAAGACUGCAUAUGCUCAUCAGUGACAAGAAGAAGACUAAAGAGCUAUUCAAGGGGGGAACAGCCCCCUUGAAAAAAGACACAACUUUAUUAAGUAGACUAAAGAUUAAAAUAACUGAAGGUAAAUGUACCUAGGUGGGCCUAAAAGCAGCCAUCCUUGAAGAAAGCGUUAAAGCUCAAGUACUUUUUUUCCCUAAUACCAAUAACACAAUCUUAAGUCCCUUAACUAAUAGUGGGCCUUUCCAUGCAACCAUGGAAGUGACACUGCUAAGAUGAGUAAUAAGAGGACUGCUCCUCUCCCCAACACCUGUUUAACUCAGAACGAACCCCCACUGAAAAUUAACGCCCCCAAUCAGAAGAGGGACCUGGGAAAACCCAACAUAACCUAGAAACCCACCCAACCAAUUAGCGUUAACCCUACACAGGUGUGUUUAAGGAAAGACUUAAAGAGAAAGAAGGAACUCGGCAAACACUGGCCUCGCCUGUUUACCAAAAACAUCGCCUCUUGCAACAAACGUAUAAGAGGUCCCGCCUGCCCUGUGACUAAUUAGUUUAACGGCCGCGGUAUUUUGACCGUGCGAAGGUAGCGUAAUCACUUGUCUUUUAAAUGAAGACCUGUAUGAAUGGCAUAACGAGGGCUAGACUGUCUCCUUUAUCUGGUCAAUGAAAUUAAUCUUCCCGUGCAGAAGCGGGAAUAAGCACAUAAGACGAGAAGACCCUAUGGAGCUUAAGACACAAGACAGCCCAUGUAAAAUACCUGACUGAACAGAAUUAACUAAAUGGCAACUGUCCUCUUGUCUUUGGUUGGGGCGACCACGGGGAAACAAACAUCCCCCACGAGGAAUGGGCUAACCCCCUAAAGCCAGAGUCACAGCUCUAGCUAGCAGAAUAUCUGACCUAUAGGAUCCGGCUAAAGCCGAUCAACGGACCGAGUUACCCUAGGGAUAACAGCGCAAUCCCCUUCUAGAGCCCUUAUCGACAAGGGGGUUUACGACCUCGAUGUUGGAUCAGGACAUCCUAAUGGUGCAGCUGCUAUUAAGGGUUCGUUUGUUCAACGAUUAAAGUCCUACGUGAUCUGAGUUCAGACCGGAGAGAUCCAGGUCAGUUUCUAUCUAUGAAUGUUUUUUUCUAGUACGAAAGGACCGAAAAAAAGAGGCCCAUGCUACAAGUAAGCCUCCCCCUUACCUAAGGAAGACAACUAAAAUAGGUAAAAGGACAUAAAUUGUCUGUCUGAGAAAAAGACAA
rnacentral:rRNA from 1 species